rnacentral:rRNA from 1 species
CCUACGGGAGGCAGCAGUGAGGAAUAUUGGUCAAUGGUCGGGAGACUGAACCAGCCAAGCCGCGUGAGGGAUGAAGGUACAGAGUAUUGUAAACCUCUUUUGUCAGGGAACAAAGGCGGGGACGUGUCCCCGGAUGAGUGUAUCUGAAGAAAAAGCAUCGGCUAACUCCGUGCCAGCAGCCGCGGUAAUACGGAGGAUGCGAGCGUUAUCCGGAUUUAUUGGGUUUAAAGGGUGCGCAGGCGGUCUGUUAAGUCAGCGGUCAAAGCCCGGGGCUCAACCCCGGCCAGCCGUUGAAACUGGCAGUCUCGAGUUGGAGAGAAGUAUGCGGAAUGCGCGGUGUAGCGGUGAAAUGCAUAGAUAGCGCGCAGAACUCCGAUUGCGAAGGCAGCAUGCCGGCUCCACACUGACGCUGAGGCACGAAAGCGUGGGUAUCGAACAGGAUUAGAUACCCCUGUAGUC